rnacentral:rRNA from 1 species
UACGGGGGGGGCAAGCGUUGUUCGGAAUUACUGGGCGUAAAGGGCUCGUAGGCGGCCAACUAAGUCAGACGUGAAAUCCCUCGGCUUAACCGGGGAACUGCGUCUGAUACUGGAUGGCUUGAGUGUAGGAGAGGGAUGUGGAAUUCCAGGUGUAGCGGUGAAAUGCGUAGAUAUCGGGAGGAACACCAGUGGCGAAGGCGGCAUCCUGGCCCUGUCUUGACGCCCAGGGGCGAAAGCGUGGGGAGCAAACCGG